GUUUUAAUAAUUUAAAUAAAAUAUUGGUCUUGUAAACCAAAAAUAAGGGUAUCUUUUAAAACU
rnacentral:tRNA from 1 species